rnacentral:siRNA from 1 species
UGGGCUUGACGAGUAUGGUCU